rnacentral:rRNA from 1 species
GACGAACGCUGGCGGCGUGCUUAACACAUGCAAGUCGAACGGAAAGGCCCUGCUUGCGGGGUACUCGAGUGGCGAACGGGUGAGUAACACGUGGGUGAUCUGCCCUGCACUUCGGGAUAAGCCUGGGAAACUGGGUCUAAUACCGGAUAGGAGCCAUUUUUAGGGUGAUGGUUGGAAAGUUUUUUCGGUGUAGGAUGAGCUCGCGGCCUAUCAGCUUGUUGGUGGGGUAAUGGCCUACCAAGGCGGCGACGGGUAGCCGGCCUGGGAGGGUGGACGGCCACAUUGGGACUGAGAUACGGCCCCGACUCCUACGGGAGGCAGCAGGGGGGAAGAUUGCACAAUGGGCGCAAGCCUGAUGCAGCGACGCCGCGGGGGGGAGGACGGCCUUCGGGUUGUAAACUCCUUUCGCUAGGGAAGAAGCUUUUUGUGACGGUACCUAGAUAAGAAGCACCGGCUAACUACGUG